AAGCUUUCGCGGUAUAGGAUGGGGUCGCGUCCUAUCAGCUUGACGGCGGGGUAACGGCCCACCGUGGCUUCGACGGGUAGCCGGCCUGAGAGGGCGACCGGCCACAUUGGGACUGAGAUACGGCCCAGACUCCUACGGGAGGCAGCAGUGGGGAAUAUUGCACAAUGGGCGCAAGCCUGAUGCAGCGACGCCGCGUGAGGGAUGGAGGCCUUCGGGUCGUAAACCUCUUUUAUCGGGGAGCAAGCGAGAGUGAGUUUACCCGUUGAAUAAGCACCGGCUAACUACGUGCCAGCAGCCGCGGUAAUACGUAGGGUGCAAGCGUUAUCCGGAAUUAUUGGGCGUAAAGGGCUCGUAGGCGGUUCGUCGCGUCCGGUGUGAAAGUCCAUCGCUUAACGGUGGAUCCGCGCCGGGUACGGGCGGGCUUGAGUGCGGUAGAGGAGACUGGAAUUCCCGGUGUAACGGUGG
rnacentral:rRNA from 1 species